UGCGUAGGCGGAAUGAUAAGUUAGUGGUGAAAUCCCCCGGCUCAACCGGGGAACUGCCAUUAAUACUGUUAUUCUUGAGUAUAGUUGAAGUGGGCGGAAUGUAUCAUGUAGCGGUGAAAUGCUUAGAUAUGAUACAGAACACCAAUAGCGUAGGCAGCUUGCUAAACUAUAACUGACGCUCAGGCACGAAAGCGUGGGGAGCAAACAGGAUUAGAUACCCUGGUAGUCC
rnacentral:rRNA from 1 species